rnacentral:misc_RNA from 1 species
UCUGCCCGUGCCUAGAUCUGGGGACAACGCCAGCGUAGGGAAAACCGCUCGUAGGGAAUCCGUUCGCGUAGUGGUGAUGAUGAUGAUAGCGUCACGUAUGACUCGCACACUGGCUCGCUGGCCUCGCCGUUUUUAACGGUUCUCAGUUUGAACUUCGGAUGUGGUUGCUGGUUGCUCCGUAGCUUUUGUGCAUGCUAGCGGCAUAACGCCGACCCAGAUAAGUACAAGUGCAUGAUUUGUGACAUGUGCUUCAAGAAAAUCUACAACUUAAAGAGGCACCUAAAGGAGGUUCACGGGGACGCUGACACGAGCUGGAUCACACUGUCCGCUGCCGCCUUGCAUGCGAUCUGUGUCCAACUCCACUUUGAAGCGAAACACGGGAUCGUCGCGAGGCGUGACAAGUUCAAUUUGUUGAAAGAAUUCAGUGACUGGAGGGAGGCUAAGGAUGGCAGAGAGCAUGUUCGCUUCAUUCUCCACGACGGACCCAAGGGACGAGAUGAGGGUGUCCUGAAAGGGUAUUACUACUGCCACCGCUCUGGAUCAUUUCAGAGCAAGAGAUGAGACUUCUCCAAAACCUAGGGUAAUCCCUCACAACAAAAAGGUGGAAAAACAACCACGGUACUUUCCCCCCCAAGAAACGCCCUGGUUCUGGUCCCAUGCAUGGCAAACCUCCCACCAGCUUGGAGCAGCAGCACAUCAUGUAGGGCCUCGUAGCCAGCCAAGAGGGAGUGACCACUGGCGACCACAAGCAUGAGGAUCUGCUACAGGAAGCAUGAUCAUGUACCUGGACCUCGAGACCGGUGGCCUUGGAGAUGUCAGCAAGGCUACGGGGUGAUUUGCUCACCACGAGGCUGUGCAAUUUAGUGGCAUGGAACUAGUGCCUCAUUUCGGAGAUCUCCAUGGCGAGUGAACAGUGUAAGGCUGGUGGGGCAAGAAGUUUAUUGGAAGGUUAUGCCAUGGUGAUCAACAUCCAUGACAGGUUCAUCUGCCGAACUAGCUAUGCAAUAGAGGCAAGCCUGCUAAGUCACUGGGACAUGGAUGCAUUAGUCGUCAGUGUGUGGCGCAGAGGACUUCUAGGGACAACUCCAGGAGACGAACAUGCAAUAUUUAUAUUCUGUCUAUAUUUUGGUGAACCAAUGUUACUGUUGACAUUUAAGUGUGGGACAUUUCGCUUGUGCGGCAAAAGAUAUGUCAGGUGUGUAAUGGGGUCCCACAAAAAAUACCUAUGCUUUGUCUUGAGCUAUGUUCAUAGAGGCAUGGCAAGGGGGGGCCAGAAGACUGAUGAAAGUUGUGCCGGUGAUGGUCACAGUUUGGGAAAUAAUCGCUUGUUUCUGGAAUAAUUACAACUGCAACUUCCGGUCCUAAAGAUGCCUGCAGCAGACUACGAAUACAAGAAGUAUGCCGUCUGCCACAAGCUGGCGCCAUCGUUUGAAUCGUGUGAAUAAAGACUAUAUUCUGAUAUUGUAU